rnacentral:rRNA from 1 species
AUUGAACGCUGGCGGCAUGCUUUACACAUGCAAGUCGAACGAGGGGCGCACGGGUGAGUCAUACAUCGGAACGUGGUCUUUCGUGGGGGAUAACUGAUCGAAAGAUCAGCUAAUACUGCAUCCGAUUGAAGCGGCCGAUGCCUGAUUAGCUAGUUGGUGGGGUAAAGGCCAACCAAGGCGACGAUCGGUAGCUGGUCUGAGAGGACGACCAGCCACACUGGAACUGAGACACGGCCCAGACUCCUACGGGAGGCAGCAGUGGGGAAUUUUGGACAAUGGGGGCAAGCCUGAUCCAGCCAUGCCGCGUGCAGGAAGAAGGUCUUCGGAUUGUAAACUGCUUUUAUCAGGGAAGCGGUACCUGAAGAAUAAGCACCGGCUAACUACGUGCCAGCAGCCGCGGUAAUAC